CUCCCUAGAGCCUCUGAAGCCUAACCUAAGAGGGAAAAAGGAAGGGAAGAAGAGGAAGAAGAAUGAAGAAAUAGAAGGCAAGAGAUAAAAGAAGAUUGAAGAGGAGGAAGAAAAGAAGAAAGAAGAAUCAGGAAAAGAGAGAAGAGCUACACCUCUAGGUCCUGACUGAAUUGGAUGCCUUGAUAAUAAUUGUGAUGAAUGAAUGAAGAGUUCUGGUUAAUAGAAGUCUGCUAGGCGCAGCAGGUGAGAAGUGACCUCUAGUAGUAAAUCAAGCAUCUUUGGAAGCUGCUUCAAGUCCUUCACCUGGGCGACCCUUGGGAUUGGAGUCAUAGCCCGGACACCUGGGAGAAUACGUGAUAUUGGAAACCAAAUUUUAAAAGGGUACCGUUGUACCUCACCUGGAAAGGAAACUAUGUUCUUGUUUUUGUUUUGGGAUAGAGACUAAAACUCAAAGAAGGUUAUAAUCAAGUGAACCUUUAAGGCAUGGCUCUUGAACUUGAGCAUUAUCAGAAUCACCUGGAGGACUUGUUGCAACACAGACUGCUGGCCCUACCCCCAGAGUUUCUGAAUCACUAGGUCUGAGGAUGGCCAGAGAAUUGUAGUUAAUCUGCUCCCAGGUGCUGCUACUGCUGCUGCUGGUUCAGGGACCACACUUUGAGAACCAGUGCUUUAAGGAAUACCGAAUAAAAGGAUCUCUCUUCCUCACAGAAAACUGUGAUUUGUUCUCAGUGGAAUCUAAUCAGUAGGUUUAUAUGCAGUUAAAAUUAAAAAAAUGAGCAAUGACCACUACUGUUAAUUUGGAACAGUCAAACUAACCUCACAAAAGACUUCUGCAAUGGAAAAAACGGGAAGCUCUUUCCCCGGUACACAUUGGCUUUAUUGGCUGCGGUCUUAGUCAAAGCACAGAAUGAACCUUGGCCAGCAGCAGGAGGUCUCUCAAGCUUGCAGCUGUUGGGAGGAGGCUCCUCUGCCAGUGACUCUGGGUGGGAAGUGCCUUGUUAGAACUGAUGCAUCUAUUUUAUUCAGCUCA